rnacentral:sRNA from 1 species
UUUUAGCCCUGAUCGAAGUGAUAUCCUUUGCUUUUUUUUCUUUAAAAAAAGCAAAGAUAAAACGGAGAGCAGGACUCAUC